rnacentral:rRNA from 1 species
AGCAGCCGCGGUAAUUCCAGCUCCAAUAGCGUAUAUUAAAGUUGUUGCAGUUAAAAAGCCCGUAGUUGAAUUUCGGGGGUCAGUAGGUCGGUCGUGCCACUGGUAUGAACUGGUUUUACUGAUUCCUCCCUCUUGAAGAACUGUAAUGCCAUUAAUUUGGUGUUGCAGGGAAUCAGGACUGUUACUUUGAAAAAAUUAGAGUGUUUAAAGCAGGCUUUAGCUUGAAUACAUUAGCAUGGAAUAAUGAAAUAGGACGUUUGAUCCUAUUUUGUUGGUUUCUAGGAUUGACGUAAUGAUUAAUAGGGAUAGUUGGGGGCAUUAGUAUUCAAUUGUCAGAGGUGAAAAUUCUUGGAUUUAUUGAAGACUAACUACUGCGAAAGCAUUUGCCAAGGAUGUUUUCAUUAAUCAAGAACGAAAGUUAGGGGAUCGAAGACGAUCAGAUACCGUCGUAGUCUUAACCAUAAACUAUGCCGACUAGGGAUCGGGAUGAUGUUAAUUUUUAAUGUACUNAUUCGGCGCCUUACGGGAAACCAAAGGUUGUUUAC